CCUACGGGUGGCAGCAGUGAGGAAUAUUGGUCAAUGGGCGCGAGCCUGAACCAGCCAAGUCGCGUGAGGGAGGACGGCCCUACGGGUUGUAAACCUCUUUUGCCGGGGAGCAACGGGCGCCACGUGUGGCGUCACUGAGAGUACCCGGAGAAAAAGCAUCGGCUAACUCCGUUGCAGCAGCCGCGGUAAUACGGAGGAUUCGAGCGGUAUCGGGAUUUAUUGGGUUUAAAGGGUGCGUAGGCGAAUCGUUAAGGCAGUGGUAAAAUGGAGGGGCUCAACCCCUUCCCGUCAUUGAAACUGGCGUGCUUGAGUGGAAGAGAAGUAUGCGGAAUGCGUGGUGUAGCGGUGAAAUGCAUAGAUAUCACGCAGAACCCCGAUUGCGAAGGCAGCAUGCCGGCUUCCGACUGACGCUGAAGCACGAAAGCGUGGGGAUCGAACAGGAUUAGAUACCCGAGUAGUC
rnacentral:rRNA from 1 species